CUGGAAAAUGAGGCCUGGAUGCAAAGACAACAUCAUGGGUUUUCAUAACCUCUUUGGCAACCUCUGGGGAAGAUACAAUAAUGGUUGGAACUUCCCCGAGUUGUAAGAGCAUAAGAGGUCCAUAUUUCUUGCUCAAGUCUCUUAGUCCAUGAUGGGGUAGGGAGCCAGCAAGCUGGUACAAAUUUCCUAUAACAGGUAAUUUCCAUGGCCCUGGUGGUGGAUUUGAGAUUCUGUUAUUGGUUUGUGAUCUCUUCUCUAGUUUCAGCACAGCUAAGGCAGAGAGGAGAAUAGCCAGAAGGAUGGACGAGGUGGUAGACAGCCCAAGAAGCUCCAUGUGAAAUGAACUGGAGAAUGGGGAUAGAAUUUUUACUAGUCCGUUAGUAUAUCCACGUUGUGUAUCUUUUGUGGUCUUUCAUCAAAAAUAUCUUUAACUGGUAUUCUCUGUCGUGUUCUUCAUCAAAAAUAUCUUUAAUUAGUAUACAAUUUGAAAAGGUGAAGGACGUUGUUUGGUUGCAUUACCUGUGUCCUAUUCUGACACUUCCACAAUAAUAUGGCUAAAUAUCGGUUGGCCACUAUAAAAUAGAUGAGUAAUAUACCUCGAAUGUCACUGAAUAUUUCACUUUUAUCGAUUUAAAUGAUAUUUAUAGUAGAGCUGGCAAAACGGGUCAUCGGGUCGUGUUCGUGUCGUGUCAGCUUUGUGUCGUGUCAAAUUUAGGUCGACCCAAAUCCGACCCAUUUAAUAAUCGUGUCAAAAUAUUGAGACCCAAACCCGACACGGAAAAAUAAUCGGGUUACCCAAUAACCCGUUUAAUAUCUAUAUAUUGAACAAAAGUUACAUCAAAUAUUUACACACUAUCAUACAUACGUACGUAUAUAAAUACAUACAUACAUACAUACAUACAUACAUAAUUUAUCGAUAUUAUAAAAUAUACAUAUCUACCAAUAUAUUACACAUGUACACUAUUGAGGUUUUAAUUAUAUAUAUAUAUAUAUAUAUAUCAAUAUUAUAAAAUAUACAUGUCUAUCAAUUUUUACACAUUUACACUAUUGAAGCUCUAAAUGUAUGUAAAAUUUUAUAAAUAAAACAUUGUGUUUAUAUUCACCCUUUUAAAGAAUAAAAAAAAAAGAAAAUCAUCUCUAAUAUUUGAGUUUUAAUUAUAAGAAUAUGUAAAUUAUUUUAAAAUAGAAAAUAUAAUCGGGUCAUUGAUCGGGUAAAUGGGUCAAGAAUUUUAACCCAAACCCGACACGGAAAAAAAUCGUGUUGACCCGGACCCGACCCAUUUAAUAAUCAUGUUAAAUUUGACGACCCAUACCCAUUUAUUUAUGUCGUGUUCGUGUCGGGUAAUCGGGUCGUGUCAAAUUUUGCCAGCUCUAAUUUAUAGUAUAAAAUCUUUAUAAUAUAGGAAGUAUAAAUAAUAAAGGGCUAAGAGAAAUAAGCCAUGAAAAUAAUGCUUUUAUUCUUCUUAUGCAUAGCCCUGGGCCCAGCAAUCGCACAAAUCAAGUGAUUAUUGCCCAUAUAAACAGUGAUUUGUGACGAAUGAAAGUUAGCCACAUGUAAAUACAAGUUACCACAUCUAAUCUAAUUUCUUAUAUGCGAUUUAACAAAACAGCUGUAACAGUAUUGGCACUUCAACUAGCUCAGCUAAUUAGCUAAUAUGAACUGGUGGGCUGAUGAAUCGAGUAAGACGAGGUCAUGCAUGGAAGCGGUGUGCGCCUGGUAGAAAGCCACCAUUUUCAUAACAAUUCAUUUAUUUAGUCUUUGUGACAUCAAACACCUUACGCCACCAACCUUCUACGUUAUUGGAUCAAGUGUCGGGAAAUCAAAACCUCUCUGGUUGUUAAUAAAUCACAACACAAGGUUAAAACUAGGAUAUUUUAACAUGGAGAACUGCUAUGAAAAUUUGUCAAAAGGAAAUAAAGAACUCUUUUGAAUGAGUAUGAUACAUUCGAAUACAAUCAAGUAAGUAAUUAUCACAAUAAAAAAUAUUAACACUCUCAACAAUCUUUAAAAUAAAAAAUCCCAACAAAUCCAUCUCGACGAAUAUUCCAUAUAAGCAUUUCUAAGAAUCUCAGGUAUGUGAAAUCCCAAACUCCACCACCAAUUAAAUAAAUUAUAGAAACAUUAAUCUAGGUCAAUGAAAAUAAAUAUGUAAAAUAAAUAAAUGUCCACAGCAUAGAGAUUUUUAUGAGGAAACUUUUGGUCCCACAAUCUAGAGUGAAAACCAUAGCACAUGAUUAUAUCCAUGUGUUGAUGAAAUAAUUCAUUAUGAAAAUAAUGUGAGUUCACAAUGGAUGGACUAAAUUCGAAUGCGUCAACACUCACCAUCCUCAUAAAUUUUCCUCCGCUUGAAUUGAGCGUCAAAAUGACCUCAGGAGAUAAGGAUAAGAGUAAUAGGAUAAUGGAUGUGGGAGUAUUUGGAUUUAAUACCUUCAAGCUCAAAGACCUCGCAUUAAUGAACUUGAUGAAGUUAAAGAUGAGAGAAGAAAUAAAGACUAAUUUGAUUCUUCGUGUCUAAAAAUAACAUCCAUUCAUCCAUCUAGAACUCAAAAAUAUUGAAAUGAUCAUUUUUCUCCUAAACCUAUUAUGAAUAGUUUUUAACACAGGAUUUAACAAGCCUUGAUAUAUUGGGCAUUUCACACUAGAUUUUCUCGAAAAUUAACUCCACUUGAACUCCACUCAAGUAUAAUUUUCUUUUUUACACUUUUGUUUAUUAUUUUUUUCCUUAGUGAGUUUAGGUGGUAUUUAUUUUUGGGGUGCAUAUUACUUUUCUUUGACAAGGUGGUGCAUCUACCCAAUAAUGACCUAUAAUUUAGCAUGUCUAAUGUGUUCUUGAACGGGACACACAAAUUUUUAAUUUUAAAAUUAAAAAUAAAAUUUAUGAAUUUGUGAAUCCCAUUUGACCGACACACCACCUCAAUAUGGCGAAACAUAUGUUGUCUCAUUUACCAUACACUAACCUAUGACAUGGUCAUGGUAUACGAAGCAAAAAAUAAUGAUAAUAAUAAUAAUAAUUAAAAAAAGCUUGCAAACUGAAACUACAAUGAUUUAAUAAGCAUGUGAAAUGUUCAGUAAUUAAGUUCCAACUUUCAUGCUAAGGAUGGCAAUGGAUCAGAUCUGACCCAAGAUCCAUUGUGAUUCAAAUCCAAUUGGAUCGGAUUUGGGUCGGAUUAAAAUGGAUUUGGAUCGGAUUUGGAUAUCGAUGCAUGGAUCUAAGGCGGAUCUGGAGCAAAUUCGGAUCUAUCUUAAUAUCUAUAUCCAAAUCCAUAUCCACUCACCAUUUAAUGUAAUUUUAUUUUAAAAAAUUCUUAACAAUUAUAUAAUUAUAAAUGAUGAUAAAAUUUAUUCAUUAGCAUAUAUUUAAGAAUUUUAAAAUUUAAAGGUACUUAAUUGAUAAUAAGACAAAAAUUUAUCAAGUAUAAAAUAAAAUUAGGAUAGUCUACCCUAAUUUUUUUUAAGUUUUUCACUCUACAAUUUAGUCUCUUUUUUCCUCUUUAGUCUACUCUCGCUUCUCCACUUCAUUUGAAUGCUUGGAUCAGUUCUUUAAUUGUUAGGAAAAUCCAUAGACUUGAGUUUAUUUUUCUAUCAUUUUCUCAUAAUCUUAUUUAUUUUGUAUAAUCACUAAUCAAUGGUGGCUAUCAACUAUAAAAUAAUUAUGUUAAUCAUAUAUUUAGUUAAAUAUGAUCAUAAUAAAAAUAAUAAAGCACUGAAUAUAAUAAAUCAUUUUUAACUUAUAUGUUAUUAUUUAAUUAUAUAGGAAUGAUGAUGGUGUGCAGUAGAUAUCAAGAUAGUAAAUGAGACAUUAGAAUAUUAUAAUGAUCUUAUUCAUGCAAUUACUUUUUAUCGAUAUUUUAUUAUGUUUCUUAUUUGUUUAUUUUGGUGUAAAAGUAGAAGCUAAAAUACUUAUUAGAUUUUUUGUACAAAUUAUAUAAUUUAAUUGUUACCAAUGCAUUUCAGUCUUAAAUUUUCUUUCUAAAAAAAAUUGAUCUCUUAUUAUUGAGAUUUAGAAUUCAUGAUGGAUCUAGAGCAGAUUUGGAUUUUAAUUUUUCAAUUUGGAUUUGGAGCAGAUAUAGAUCUUUAUUUUUUGUUUCGGAUCUAGAUAUGGAGCGAAAAAUAUAGAUCCAUAACAGAUCUGGAGCAGAUACGGAUCUUAAUUUUUAUUACGGAUCUGGAUCUGGAGUAAUAUAGAUCCAAUCCAUAUCCGCUCCAUUGCCAUCCCUAUUUCAUGCACACAUCUACUGAUAUAGAAGGCAUACAAACAAAGGGAACACUGAGACCUGUAGGACAUCAAAUGCAACACUUAAUGAGAUUCGCUACAUGGCUGCAGUUUUGCCCCUUGCCACUUAUUCAACAGUAGGCGACCAAUGAUAAGGAAUGGGGAUGAUGUGUAGAUCAUCUUUUCUUCUACUAAAUAUUUCUCUCACCUCAGCUCGUGCCUUUUUAAUUAUUGUAGGAUUUUUCAUCAUUUCGCUCAUUGCCCAAUCUACAAUUGUGGCAGAUGCAUCGCUGCCAGCAGUAAAAACGUCCUGAAAUAGGAUUUAUCAUUUGUGUAUAUGCACGAGUGAAUUAAACCAUUAUGCAGUACUAUUUUGUUUCAAAGCACUAUAUAUGCAACUUGCAUUCAACUAAGAAUACAAUGAAAAACAAACUAUAAAAAUUAUUUAGUUAAAAGCACGGUCCCCACGGUUUUUGUCACCAAGUACUAUUUCGAGAAUAAAGUAUCGUAAGGCCCAAAAUAAAUGAUAAAGACUUUUUUUUUUUGUUUUUUUUGCUCUUGUGUACUCAAUGAAAAACCUAGGAUCUGAUCUUAAUUAAGAAGCUACUCCAAGCUAGACCUUGGAUAUUAAUUGUAUUUUCAAAAAAACUAAUAACCGCUUUUUAUUAUUUUCAUUAAAUUUAGGCCUUUUUAUGUUCACAAAAAAAUAAUUAUUCUUAUAUUAAAAAUAUAUCAUUUGAAAUAUAAUACCAAAAACGCCAUUAAUAACUGAAAUAAAUUAUCUCCUGCGUUCGGGGUUUUUCCAAAAAAGGGGGAAAAAAAAAAGAACAAGCUUGUUGUAAUUAAUUACUUGCAGUUAUAACUACUUUGAUGUUUUCAGUACUUAAGUGAAAUUGAUCGUGACCACCAAGUUCUUGAAUUUUCAGAAGAAUAACAACAAGAUCUUAAUCUUCUUCAGUCUUCGAAAUCUGCAAUGAUGCCUUGCCCUUCCUAUGAUCAUUGAUAAUGUUUUCAAUAAUCCUGUCAACUUUUUGGUGCACCCUCUCCGCCCCUGACCUGAUUCCACUCAUCGAUUCAAGUAAUCCAAUUCAAGGAAACAAUCUUAAGAUUUCCUUCACCCACUUCCACAAAUAGUUCUUGAUCUUUGCAUUUGUUCCCAAAGGCAGCGCUUGAAGUGAUACAAUACAUCAAUGAGCUAACUUCAUCACUUAAGUUAAUCACUGAUCCUGCUCUUGAAUCAAUCAAUUUAAUGAGAUUAGAAACUUCUUCAUUGAUAAUGUUUUCAAUAAUCCUGUCAACUUUUUGGUGCACCCUCUCCGCCCCUGACCUGAUUCCACUCAUCGAUUCAAGUAAUCCAAUAGAAGGAAACAAUCUUAAGAUUUCCUUCACCCACUUCCACAAAUAGUUCUUGAUCUUUGCAUUUGUUCCCAAAGGCAGCGCUUGAAGUGAUACAAUACAUCAAUGAGUUAACUUCAUCACUUAAGUUAAUCACUGAUCCUGCUCUUGAAUCAAUCAAUUUAAUGAGAUUAGAAACUUCUUCUUCCCUUAUUGAUCAGAAAGAUUGGACCCUUUUUAUGCUUAAAAGCUCCGAAAUGCAGAUUUUUCUAAGUUGUCUCCAAUAAUCACCAUAUGGUGAAAAGAUUACGUCACUAUAAUCAUAAGACAUGAUUUUGGCUGCUACAUCUUGACGCCUUGAUGCAAAUAUGACAUCAUGUGUUUCAUCACUUCUUUUGCAAAUUCCGGGGAAGAUACAAGGAUGGUACAAACUUCUCCGAGUUGAAGGUCCAUAAUAGGUCCAUAUUUUUUUGCCAAGCCUCUUCAAGCUCGAUGGGGUAGGGACCCAACAAGCUGGUGCAUAUUUCCGAUGAUAGGUAGUUUCCAUGGUCCCAGGGGUAGAUUGGGAAUUUUGUUUUUGUUAUUAGAUUUCUUCCCAAAUUUCAGGAAGCAAUAAAAGAGAGAAGAAAGGCAAGAAGGAUAGAUAAGAAAAAGGAGAAUCCAAGCGCCAUUUGAAAAUUAGAGGAUUAGGGGAAUGUUAUUAGUUAGUAGAAAUGUUUUUCUUUGAUAUACAAUUAAGUUCUUGAUCUCGGGGGUCUUUCCUCAUGAAUAUCGUGGGGAAAUAAAAUUAAUAAUAAUUGCUUUCUUUUUUAUUAAAUCAAAGGAUUGGUUAAUCUCUAUUUAUAGUCGAGCCGGAUUUGUUACUAGUUACUCCGUUAGUUUUAGGGCAGUGUAAUUCUAGUACUGAGCUGUUCUAGGUUGUUUCAGAGGUGCAAUAUUUAUUUUUACCAAAGCAUGAUUUUAGGAUUUAUCAUGUCUCAAGGAAGUGUAAUCAAGCUGCUGAUGGGUAUCUAAAUUUGCUCUCUUAGCUGCUGUAAUUUUCUUGUAUAAGUGGAAAAUUUUCCAUAAUAUUUAUGCUAUCAUCUUUGAAAUUCUAUUUCUUGAAAUAAAGUUGUUUUUCGUUUUUAUUAAAUAAAUUUCACUUAUUAAAAAAAUAUUUCUUGAAAUUAAGAGUUCUAAUUUAAAAAAAGCAAACGGCUAAUUUUAAGGCAGUAUUUUAAUUUCCUAAAAAAAUAAUAUUUUUUUAAAUCCAUUUGGCCAAUUGGCCUUGUAUGUAUGUCAUGGGGUCACAUCGUGUUUUGGAGAUUAUACUUAAUUUUAACCUAUUCAAAGAUAUUUGUCUCUGUCCUAUAUUUGGAAAAACAAAUAAAAAAUAAAAUGUGCUGUUGCAAAAGAUUGAGUCUUAUAUGGCUGCUCUGGGACCGGAUUUCUGCUGUAUCUUUCAUAAUAUAAUUAAAGAGAGGAGCCCCCUACAUUAUGUACAUACGUUAAUUGUAACGUACAUCCACACACAGCAACAGUACUCAUAGUAUGAUAUGCUACUGUUGUUGUGUGUGGCGUACAUUACGAUUAACGUAACGUAACACUGGCCUUAAAGAGAAUUCGUAAAGUGCAAAGGUUAUUUGAAUUUUUUUUAAGAACAAUAAAGUAAAAGAAUAAAGAAUAUUUCCAUGAAAUAAUUAACUUUAUAAAUUUUUAGAGCAUUCAUGUAUAAAAAUAAAAAAUAAAAAACUACAAGGUUAAGGUUCAAUUUGAAAUAAAUGUGCCCAAGUGGAAGCAGCAUAGGUGAAUCAUCGUGAGUGCAUGCUAAAAAGAAUAAGAAGAAGAAUUUAUGAAUUCAUAAAUAGUAUCCAUAAAUUAUAAAAUCUCUUAUUUUAAGUGACAAAUAAUAUCUUGAUUGCGAAGGAAAUAUCUCAAAAUAUAAAUUUAGGAUCCAAACUUGAUCCUCAGGCUGGCUGAUGUUGAACGAUGCGUGUAAAAAUAAAAUUGCCAAGCAUUAAGCCAAAUGCAAUUGAACGUGGACAGCCAAAUGCAAUUAGUUUCAUCAUCAUCACAUAAAUAUUUUCAAUGAUGGUUACUUCUUAAUUAUCAUCGUCGUGAUCGCAAUCACUUAAAACGUGCCGGAAAAGUAUCAAAAACAUAGAAAAUUAGAUCAGUCAGGGAAAAAAAUUAAACAGUACAAAACAAGACAAGCAGAAAGAACAACUCUUUGAUGAAACCCUUGACAUACCCUUAAAUUAAUCAAUAAAACCUUUUGGUUUGCAUUAUUAAAAUAUUUUAGAAAAUUGAAUCAGUCGCGGGAGACCGCCGGUACCCUGUAGGGGGAAAAAAACCAAUUCAAAAUAAAUAAGAAACGAUAACUCUUGUUGAAACCUUUUAACUUUUGGCCUUAAAUUAAUCAAUAAAAUUAACUUUUGGGUUUCAUUAUUAAAUUAUUUUGCUGUCCUACCGACCAGGAUGUAAACAUUUCCUGAAGUAUCUGUAAGGUCACAGUGGUGCGGGAAAACAAGAAAAUACAUUUUUUUAGUGGGAAAAAUAAAUUUAUCUAAGACGUGCGCAGAUCUAUUAGCAGCAGUACUCAGGGACGAAGUUAGGAACUUUUUUUCUAGCUUGGGCUAGAUUAAUUUUUUUCAAGUGAAAAAAAAAAUAAAACUUUCAAGUAAAGCCGUUAAAUCAAAGCAUACCCUUAGAGCAACACUUUUUGGGUUUGAGAAAUACCUUGUGAAUUAAGUUUAUUUAACAAUAAAAACUAUCAACUUUAAAAAUGUGACUAUGGUAACUUAUGGAUACUAUACUCCCCGACGUGACACUGUUAGAUGAUUUUAGUUUGUUGAUUUUUAAUAACUUUUUAAUUAUACGAUGCUCAAAUUGUAGGGUACAUUAUUCUUAAAAAAUCGUAGAGACUCCUAUUUUAAAGAAUUAAAAGUCAAAUUAGUAAUAAAUAUUUUACCAUCACAAGCAUAUUUGAAACAUAAUAAAAAAUUUUAAAACAAGAUAGAGUGAGAAAGAAGAAGUUAGGAAAAAUGACAGUUGCCAAUUGUUAAGAUAUAUUAAGCGAUGAACACGUAAGUAAUAUUGUGGCAAUUGUGUAAAUAUAACAUUGGCAUUUUUGUUAAUAACGUAUGGUAAUUUUGUGAAAUUACAACACCAGUAUUGUAGAAAAAAAAAAUUACCAAAUUGUAGCUAGGAUAUGGCCCAUCCCUAUCGAUGAGUAGCUUUGCCCUUGGCAGUACUUGUACUGAAAUAAGCAUGAUUUCAAUGCGUGUCAGUACAAACGAAGGAAAAUAAUAAUAAUAAUAAUAAUAAAUAAAUAAAUAAAAUUAAAUGGGAAAUAGAGGUGUAAGGAUGAAAAAUGCAUGAGCCUCUAUUUGUAUUAAUGAAUAUAGAGAAAUUAAAGACCUAUAGUGGGAUGAAGUUUCUUUGAAUUAAAAUUGAAUAAAUCGACUGUAUUUAUUAUAUUGCAUUAAAUAUUAGUAGUAAUAUCAUAUGGUGUUACGAUGUUAACUAAAACAUUCACAUAAUUAAUUUUAUUUUUUUUUCGUGUUACUUUUUCAAGUUUAUAGUUUAUAUGGUUAUUUUCUCUUUUGUUUUAACCAUCAUCCUAUAUUUUUACUAUAGAAAAGGUAAUGCCCUGAGUCAUGUCCUCUAAUGAAAUUAGAUAGAAUUUAGAUUAGAUAUAUCAUAAAUGGGAAUAGAUUUUGAUUCUAUUAAAAGAUAAACAAUAAAAAAACGGAAGACAUUUAACUUAUUGAGAAGAGAGGGUUUUUUAAAAUCUAUUGAAGAUAUAAGUGGUAAAAGUAAUUAUUUUACUGGGACCAAAGUGUCAUUCCUCAAUAAAAGUAUGGGAAUAUAACAAUUCUUCGCUCCGAAGAAGAAUUUAUUGGUUUACACUCCAAUUGUGCUUGCUUAGAAUUUAGCCAAACACCUUACAUGCAAAUGUGUCUAGCUUUACGGUUGUAGCUAGUAAAUUUUCUAUGUUUCUGAUAAUAAGAGAUUUUAUAGCUAGAAACACAUCUGAAAUAUGAAAACCCGUAAAUUUUCCGAUUUAAUUUUCUAUUUUUUUUAUGGUGGGAGAAAAUUUACGGGUGCCCGACUGGAGGAUAAGCUAAAAGCAUAUCUGAAAUAUUAAGUCUCCGUUUGGUACAACUUUUAAAGUAUAAUUUAUUUAAAUAUAACUUUUCUAAAUAGAGUUUUUACUAAAAAAAAGUUUAGUUGUUUGGUUGUCAAUAAGAACUUUUAUUAAAAUUUUAUGAAAUUACUUUAAUAGGCAACUUUUUUAAAGUUAUAUUAUGAAAAGAAUAAAUAAGAUUGUCAAAUAAGUAGAGGAUAUUUUAGAUAUUUUGACAUUUAAAAAAAAAAUUCAACCUCUAUUCCCAAAAGCCCAAAAUUUGAGCUUUUGCUAGUAAAUGUAUAUUUAAGCUUCAAAAGCUCUAUUAGAAAAACAACCAAACAACAACAAAAAUUAUAAUAAAAACUUAUCAAAUUAAAUAAGCACUUAUAGUUAUUAAAUAAGUCAUAGCAAACAUGCACUAAAACCCGCUGCCACUCUUAUAGUUUCUUCUAUAAAUGAGACAAACGGUUCUUGUUCUCUAGAUUUCUUCCCAAAGGCUGCCCUUGAGGUGAUACCACACAUUAAUGAGUAAACUUUUUCAAUAAAGUUAAUCGCAGAUCCUCCCUUCGAAGAAAUCCAAUUAAUAAGAUUAGUAACCUCCUCUUCUCUUUUUGAUCGGAAAGAUUGCACACGUUUGGUGCUUAAGAGCUCGGACACACUGAUUCUUCCUAGUUGUUUCCAAGAUUCACAAUUUGGUGAAAAGAUUAUAUCACCAUAAUUAUAAGAAAGGAUUUGUGUUGUUUGAACAUGAAGUCUUGAUGCAAAGAAAACAUCAUGGGUAACUUCUUUAGCAACUUGUUGGGAAGAUACAACAAUGGUGUGAACUUGUCCGAGUUGUAGGAGCAUAAGAGGUCCAUAUUUCUUGGCCAAGUCUCUUAGCUCGAGGUGCGGUAGAGAGCCAACGAUCUGGUGCAAAUUUCCUAGGACAGGUAGUUUCCACGGCCCUGGUGGAGGUAGAUUUGGAGUUCUGUGAUUGGUUUUGAAUUUCUGCACUAAUUUCAGCAAAGUGUAGGCAAACAGAAAGAAGGGGCAAGAAGGGAGAAUCCAAGUUCCAUGUGUAAAGAAGAAGACAUUGCGGGUAAGAUUUUAUGUUUAGCCAGUUAGUAGAAUUGUAUUUCAUAUCGGCUUGUGUUAUGUUAUAUAUUGUUUUUUUUCUCGUAAAAAAAAAAAAAAUCAGAAUGUCCUUAAAUAAAAUCACUUAUAGGAAAUUAAUAUUGCUUUAAUUUGGUUUUUUUUUUUUGAAAGAGAAAGUACGGCAUAGCACAAUCACACUUCAUCAAGGCACGAAGCAUGUCACAGCACACAUGCAGGCUGAGUUGGACUUAAAUUCUUUUGCACAUGGGUUUUAAAGCACAGCAUAAUUUGAGAUGAAAGCACAACAUAAUAUGAGAUGAGUUAAAGUAAUGUGUAUGAAAAAAGUUCGUAAAAAGUACGGUUCAAGUUUUGUGACUAAAUUUUAUUUGAAUUAUAUACUACUACAUAUUGUUUAAAUAAAUAAAGAAAUUUGAAUUGAGCAACAUUAAAUCUAAUAACAUGUCAUUCUAUUUUAGUUUAAAAGAAUUUUUAUGAUUAAAUUUAAUAAUAAUAAUAAUAAUAAUAAAAAAGUCAAGACAAGCAUUUUGAUAAAGACAAAGUUUUAUGAUAAUUUGUCAAAAAGCUUGACAAAUUGGUAAAACAUGUUGACAUAUUGGCCAAAGUUUAGGCAUCGAAUACAACACAUACCAAUCAUCUUGACGAUUUGCCAGAGGUAGGUGCAAUAGUGCAAUUUUGCACUCCUAUAAAUAGAGAACCAAUCUUCACUUGUAUGCAUCCCAAUAUUUAAGAGAGCAACAAUUCAAUUGUAAAAUUGUUAAGAGAGUGACAAUUCAAUUGUAAAAUUUUUAAGAGAGUGAGCAAUUGAAAAGCGUGUAAUUGAGAGGUUUUUCCUUUCAAGUGUGUGAGAGUAUUGUGUGUAUUUAGGUUUUGGGAAGUGGGGUUUUCUUUACUUAAAUAUUGUACUCUAAUAAUUGUUAAUGAUACAAUUAUUUUUUCUUUCUCCCAUGGACGUAGACAUAUUGCCCAACCACGUUAAAUUUUGUGUUUUUUAUUUUUUUUAUAAUUAUUUAGUGCACUUGAUUGUGCCUUUUGCGCACAACAAAUAAUAAUAUCAAAAAGUAAACUCAUCAUGAGAACCGCUUUAUUGUUAUCAGUUGUUAAGGGACGGACAUUGAACGUCUGCAUGUUCCUCAAUAUCUAAAAGAACAUUACAAGAGCAUGUGCUUCACCCAUUGCCUUGAAUGCUCUUUGGUCAUUGAUGAUGUUUCCAAAUAUCUUAUCUGCUUUUUCAUGCAUCCUCUUAGUUUCAGACGUCAUGCCACUAAGCAUCUCGAGCAAUUUUACUGAAGGGAGCAUAUCGGCAAGACUGAAAACUCCUCCAAGCUCUAUCAUUUACUGAAAAACUUCUCCUCUGUCUUUGUGUCUGCCACCGAAGGCCGACCUUGCAGUAACGUCAUUUGAUAAUGAAAAAAUCAUUUUAGUAAAGCUGAUCGGCAAUCCUGCGCUUGAAGAAGAAUUGAUGGAUCUAAUGAGAUUUGAUGCCUCUUCUACUCUUAUUGUGCGGUAUAAUUGCACACGUUUCAGAUUGAGCAUGUCUAAUGUGCAAAUUUUUUGCAGUUGUCUCCAGUACUCUUUAUAUUCUGCGCAAGCGAUAUUAAAAGUCCAAUACUAAUUUCAUGAUCCAAUUCAAUUACAUCUGUCUAAGCUUAAGUUCAAAGCCCAAUCUAUGGAAGAUUCAAAAAUUGCGUAGAGAAUGACAGAUAUUUCUAAUUUAAAAAUAGUUAAUGGAGAUAAAAGUAUAAGUUUAGAAAUUUCUUGGAUAUUUAGAGAUAUUUGUAAAAUGCAGUGUUAAAUUUUUUGCAAUCUAAUAUUUGCAUAAUUUGCAUUGGUUCUAAGUUACUAUAAAUACCUCUAAGCUCUUUGUUAUAGGCAUCAAGUGAAAAAUAAAGAAUUAGAAGAGAAAAUGAAGAGUGAGCCACCAGUAUUGUAAUAUUUCUCUUGUAAAAUAUCAAUAAAUUCCUUCGGUUUAGUAAAAUUCUUCUGUUGUCUAACUAUUUUUAGUUUUAAGCAGUUUAGUGCUCCUGAGCUUUCAACAAGCGAUGUUUGUAAAGUUGAAGUCAAUGUCCUUGCCGCUGUUAGAUGGGGCCUUUGAGCAAAAUUGAGAUAAUGAUUUUCCUUACCUUCUUUGGCAGCUUCCACCGAAGAAGCAACAAUACGUGAUACUUCACCAAGUUUAAAGGUGCUUCAAGUAAGCAAGCAAGUGCAUGUUUCCUAGGAGAGGUAGCUUCCAUGGCCCUGGAGGUAGAUUUAAUAUUGUUGAGUGAUGAUUGAUUUUUGAUUGCUUCCAGAUUCUCAGGAUCAUGCAAAUGAAAAGAAAGAAGCUCAGGAAAAUUGAAAAGGGGUGAAAUUGUAUUCCAUGUUGCAUAUGUAAGAUUUAUAGAGGCAGAGAUAAAGCAUGGCUUAACUGCAAAUGCCUGAAUUAAAUCAUCAAAAUUUAUGCAAGUUGAUGGAGCCUUGCAGCAAAUCUUUUAUCGAGAUUUUAGAGUACAUUUAUUGUAUUGCAUUCAAUUAAUAUAUGUAUGGCAUGUUUGCAAGAAUUAAUAUAACUACUAACUAUAUGAUAAUUUUUUAAAAUAAAUAUACACAUAUCAUGCAUACAUGAAGUAGAUGUAAUAUAACAAAAAUACUCUAAAAUCUCUCCACUUGAGAUGCCUUCUAACAGAUUUUGUCAUCUACCCUUAAGUGAAAAGAUUACUACCCGUAUCCAAUUUUAAAACUAGGAGGGAAGAAGAAUCAUAGCAUAUGUUAGGACUCCAACUUAUGCCUUCAAAAUUUUUUAAGGUUGUGGAUUAUUAUGCGUUAGAAGCCUGCCUUAGUUACUACGACUAGAAAUUUCUCAAGUUGUCCUUUGUGAGUAUUCAUAAGUGUGCUGCUGCAUUGUUUAUUUGUUUUUAAAAUAUUAAAAGCAUAAACACGUUUUGAACUCCCCGGGAAUAAAUCCAUGGCUACGUGGCUGGUGAUAUCAUCGUCCAUUCAUGUAAGAUACUCCUUAAUUAGAUAUUGCAGAUAGUUCUGUAUUUAUCAUUAGAAAUUCUUGAAUGCUAGAAAUUAUACAUUUAUGUUAAUAAUAUCAACUUUCCAUGACAUUUGAAAUGGAAAUGGAAAUCCUUCGAGAAAUGAACAGGAAUGGGAGAUCUUCAGACAUUCCUCACCCCUGCUUGUACCCCAAACUUUAAGUUUAUGCUAAUGUCUAUUGCGAUGGAUCUCUUUUAUUAAAAUCCGGAUCAGAUAUACCGCUCAAGUAAACCUCAACAAAUAAGGGAAAACUUGAAAAUUAGCUGUUGAAAUGUAUAUUUAAGAGAAAACUUGAAAAAAGAUCAGCCACGUUCUCGGAAGAUUCGUAUAUAUGAUAAUCCACAUUCGUCAAUUUAUUUUAUGACACGUCUGGGUUACAAUCACACGAAGCUUUCAAGAACUAACAACAAUAAUAAUAAUAAUAUGUUAAACAAAUAGAAGUCCACACAGUUUAAACAGCACAUACAUAUCAACAAUAAGCAAAAGGAGACAAGCCUGACAAUGCAUAUCUAGAAACUAGGAACACACGCGAGACUAUUAUUUCAAUUCUUCAGAAGGUGGACGAUAUGGGGUAGGCACUAAAAAAAGAUCAUUCUUCCUUCGUACUGAUCCGCCAAAAGUCUCAGCCAUGUCUAGAUCAUUGUUCUGUUCACCAUUUGGGAGUUUCCAAUUGAAAUGGAAUAGCAGUUGAGCGAGUGGAAGCUCAAUAUUAGCCAUGCCAAAAAGCAUUCCUGGACAAAUCCUUCUUCCUGCUCCAAAUGGGAUAUACUCAAAAUAAUUCCCCUUGUAAUCAAUUGAACUAUCGAGAAAUCGCUCUGGAUAGAAGCUCUCAGCAUCGUUCCAGUACCUGGGAUCCCUAGCAAUCGCCCACGCAUUAACAAUCACCUUAGAUCCUUUAGGUAUAUCAUAGCCUAAAAUCUUACACCUCUCUCCACAUUCUCUUGGCAGUAGCAAGGGAAGAGGGGUGUGCAAUCUUAGAGUUUCUUUGACAACUAAUUUUAAGUAUUGUAACUCAUGAACGCCUAUUUCAUCAACAUUUCCAUUUUUGUCAAAGGCUUGCCUCACCUCAGCUUGUGCCUUUUCCAUUACUCUUGGAUUUUUCAUCAUUUCUGACAUCGCCCAUUCUAUCACUGUGACGGACGAGUCAGUUCCAGCUAUGAAAAUAUCCUGAAAUAGGCAAUUGUGCACCUUGGUGAACUAACCAUACAGCUUAACUAAUUCAAUCUUACAAUUAACAAAAAAUAAUACAAAGAAGACUAGGUUUCUGAAUCGUAUAAUAUAAGGUACCUUAAUAUUUCGGUAAAUUUAAAUCACGAUAGAUCUAUGCACAGGGAAAAAGACUUACAGUGAUUGCAGCUUUAAUGUUUUCGGUUGUUAAGUUGAAACCAAGUUCUCCAUUUUCUUGACACCUCAACAGAACAUGCACAAGAUCAUCUGCUUCACCUUCUACAGUUUUUCCUAGUGCCUUGCCUUCUUUAUGCUCGUUGAUGAUGUUUCCAAGAAUUUUAUCUAGUUCUUGAUGCAGUCUUUCUGAUUCAGGCUUAAUCCCAGUGAGCCUCGCAAGCAAUUUAAUCGAAGGGAAUACAUCAGCAAGACUGAAACCUCCACUCAACUCGAUAGAUUUGUGGAAAACUGUCAUAAGUUCUUCUUGGUCCUGCCAUCUCACACCAAAAGCUGCUCUUGUAGUGAUGCCAUUUAUUAAGGAAAAUAUCAUCUUUGAAAGGUUGACCGGCAAUCCUAAGUUUGAAGAAAUGGAUGUAAUGAGAUUUGAUGCCUCUUCUUCCCUGAUUGAUCGGAAAGAUUGCACGCGUUUUGCACUAAACAGCUCCAAUGUGCAAAUUUUUCGCACUUGUCUCCAAUAAUCUCCAUGUGGUGCAAAUGCAAUGUUAGUAAAAUUAUAGGUGAAAAAACUAGCAGCUAGGAGAAAGGGCCUUGAGGCGAAACUCAUGUCAUGAGUUCUCAUUACUUCUUUUGCAGCUUCUGGGGAGGAAAUCACAAUAUGCGAUACCUGGCCAAGUUGCAAGUGCAUCAGUGGACCAUAUUUCUUGGCCAAAUCACCGAAGCAGUGAUGGGGCAGAGGGCCAACAAACUGAUGCAAAUUUCCUAUGACAGGCAACCUCCAAGGACCCGGGGGUAGAUUUAAUAAAGUUGAGUGAUUGUUUUUUGAUUUCUUCCAAAUCAUGAAAGCAAAAAGCAGGAAGCUUAAAAUGAUUGGAAAUGGGGGAAAUUGGUGUUCCAUGUGUAAGGGGAGAGGGUUCGCUUACUAAGGAUUAGUUAUGGAAAGCAGAUCGAUAGGCAGUCCAAUUUAAAUAGGUGCAAGUUGGUGGAGCCUCCAGUAGUUUGACUGCUUCCCAUGGGUUUUCAAUUGAAAAAUAAAAACUAAAAAAGAACAUGUGCACAGCCGCCAGCGCCAUAGCCAAAUUGCUAUUUCUUUAACAGAUUAUCCUCGAUCACGAUGUUCAUACACGUGAUUGACUAUUUAGUUUCAAAAAAUAAUAAUAAUAAAUACAUCAUCAGACACUGAAUAAUUCACAACCUCGUCCUAUUAACUCACCAUAGAAGAAACGUUUUCUUUCAGUUAUAAUAAUUACCCUUUUUUUCUUCCCUCAAAAUCAAAGGCUAAUUUUAAGGAAAUAUUUUAUGUUCCUUCAAAAACCAAAAAAAAAAAAAAAAGUAAUGUCUUAUUUAACUUGUAAGUUUAACAAAACAAAAGUCCAUUUUCCUUGUACGAAUAUCAUGAGAUCAUGGUAGAGAUGAUAAUGGAUCGGAUCUGGUCCAAGAUCCAUUUGAUUUAAAUUCAAUCAUAUCGGAUUUAGGUUAGUGUAAAAUAGAUUUAGAUUGGAUUUAUAUAUCAAUAUGCAGAUCUAAGACAGAUUUGGAGCAUGUUUGAAUUUAUCUUAAUAUCUAGAUUUAGAUCCAUAUCCACCUAUUUUAUAAUUUAAUUUAAUUUUUAAAAUUUUUUAAACAAUUGUGUAAUUAUAAAUGAUAAUAAAUUUCAUUCAUAGCAUAUUAGUGGUAUUUACCAUAUAUUUAAUUAAAUAUCUUAAAAUUUAAAUAUUAAUUUUAUAAAUUUAAAUAAUAAUAAGACAAAAAUUUAAAUGAUAAUAAAAAAAUUGUCAAUUUAUUUUAUUAUAUUGACCAAAUAACUUUUAAUGAAUAUAUUAAUUUCUCCCACACACUAGCACGUAUUGUCUCAAAAUUGACUUUCCAAAUUCUCCUUGAAAAGACUAAAGAGGCAUGUGAAAACAAUUAAAGGAAGCCUUAUAUUUUUUUUUUUUAAGUCGGCACUUGAAGUCAGCACCAUGAUUCAUGAAUUCAUGUUACGUAUUUCCCUUUAUUAUAAAAAAAAAAGGAAGCCUUUCUUCAUGAAUAAAAUUCAUGAUACCAUUCAUAAAGGGAAUAAUAUUUUUUAUAAUAAGGAAGCCUUAUAUUGUUAUACGAUACAUAAUUAAUAUAUAUAUAUUUGGCGUAUUCACGAAUUCGUGAAUCAUGAUACCAUUCAUACCAAGUGCCGCACUUUCAGUUUGCCCUAAUGUCUUUCAAUUAUUCAUAUUUUAGGUCAACUCAACGUCAGCCUUACUCCAACAAAAAAAAAUUCAAAGCAAGCCUCUUUCUUUCUCUUCAUUUUACUCUUACUUCUUUACUCUAUUUGAAUAUUUGGAUCAAUCCUUUAAUUGCCAAGUAAGUUUUUAAACUUAUUUUUUUCUAUUAUUUUCUCAUAAUAUUAUUCAUGUUACGUAAUCACUAAUUAGUGGUGGUUAUCCACAUAAUUUAAUUAAAUAAUAUUGAAUUGGGCAUAUGGCAAUCAUCAAAUUACGUAUUAGUUUUCCAUGUGGGUUAGCUUAUAUUUGAAUAUAUCUUAAAUCUGACAGUUGAUUUCAUUAAUAAUGGAUCCAUGUGAAUGAAGAUUAAAUGAGAAGAAUUCAAUUAUUUAUUUAAUUUAUGCUCCUAAUUUUAUAUAUUCAUUUACAAAUAAUUAUAUUUAUUUACUUGUCUAAUAUUGAUGUGUAAUAUUAAUUUUUGUAGUGACAUAGACGCUUAAUGUUUUUGGUUAUUUCUUUAAUUAUGUGAAAUAUGGAUUUCUGUCCUAAUUUACCAUAGUCAAAAAAUGAUGAUAAUGAUGGGUAUGAUGCUGUUGAAGUAAUUGAACCAUCAAAUGGGAUGGAGUUGAAUUUGACCUCACCAAUUCCUAGUGAUCAAACUACUGUUGUUAGUAAAAAAUUGAAGUCUAUUGUGUGGAAUAAUUUUACGAGGUAAAAGAUUAAUGGACAAUUGAUAUCAAUUUGUAACCAAUGCAAUGGAAAGUUAGUUGAACAUUCUGGAUUCAGGAAGCUUGUUGGUUCUUUACAACUCAUGUUUAAGGUAUGUUUAAGGUCAUUUCUCGAAAUACGCUAAAGAAAGAUAUGUUUAAGCGAUAUGAAAUUUCUUUAAGCGAAAUGAAUAUGAAAAGUCUAAAAUAAUAAAGUUGUUGGCGAGCAAUCAAAAUAGAAUUUAUAUUACUACUGAUUUAUGGACUUCUAAUCAGAAUAUGGGUUACAUAGUUGUCACCACACAUUUUAUAGAUAAUUCCUAAAGGCUGCAAAAUCUCUUUAUAAGGCACUUUCUAUAGCAUUUUUUAUUUAUAUCUUUGUCAUUUCCUUUUCAUUAUGAUUAAUAAAUACUCAAUUCAUAUAAUAAUAUUUUUGUUCUACUAUUUGUCAUUUUUAUUUAGGUUUAUAUAUGUGAUGUGUCCACACACUGCUGAAGUACUUUUUGAUAAUUUAAUGGAGUGCUUAUUAGAUUGAAAUAUUGAUGGAAAAUUGUGUUCUUUAACAGUUGAUAAUGCUAUUGCUAAUGAUGCUAUGGUUGACAUCCUCUUUGACAAACUUUCUAAUUCAUUGUUAUUAAAUGGGAGGUUGUUUCAUAUGCAUUGUUGUGCACACAUCUUGAAUUUGAUAGUGAAGGAUGGGGUAGAUGUCGUUAGUCAAAGUAUUGAGAGAAUUCGUAGUAGUGUUUCUUAUUGGAAAAUGACACCCAAAAGGCAUGAAAAUUUUAUGAAGGGUGUUCGUGAAUUAAAAAUUUCAAGCACCAAGCAAUUGAUUCUUGAUUGCAAAACGAGGUGGAACUCUACCUAUUAUAUGCUUGACAUUGCUGUAGGUUAUAAAGACGUGUUAUCUCGUUUAAAACUAUGAGAACUACAAUAUAAAUCAUUGCCUAGUGAAGAAAGAUUUGGAGUUUGCAAAAGAAAUUUGUUGUAGGCUUGAAUUAUUUGAUGAUGUUACAAAAUUGUUUUCUGGCACGAAAUAUCCUACAAUGAAUUUGUAUUUUUAUUAUAUUUGCGAGAUUCGAAUAUCUAUUUCUGAGUGGCUAGGUUCUAACAAUGAUAAACUAAGGAUAAUGGCAAAGAAAUGUUAGAAAAAUAUGACAAAUAUUGGAGUCUGGUUAAUGAGUUAAUUGCAGUGGCAACUGUUUUGGACCUUAGAUAUAAGAUGAAACUAGUAGAAUAAUAUUUUCCUAUGCUUUAUGGAGUUGAUUGUGAACAUAGAAUUGAGAGUGUCCAUAAAUAUUGUUAUGAUUUAGUGAAAGGAUAUCAGUUAAAGUCAAAAUCAUAUGAACAUGUUCAUCAAUCUAAUGAGCCUUAAUUACUCCAUCCCGUAUGGAGGCAUUUCAUUUAGGAAGGGAACAACAACGUCGAGCUAGUUUUGAGACAUUUAUUAGUCAAAGUACUAGUACUGACCAUGUGAAGUUUGAGCUAGAGUAUUAUUUGGAGGAAUCUGUCUUGCCUCGAACUAAUAACUUUGACAUAUUGGGUUGGUGGAAGGCAAAUGGAUCUAAAUAUCUUAUUUUGUGCAAUGUUGCUAGAGAUAUUUUGACUAUUCAUGUAUCCACAGUUGCAUCUAAAUUUGCAUUUAGUACCAAUGGUAGAUUUGUGACACCACAUCGCAAUAGACUCUGUCCAAAUACAUUAGAAGGUUUAAUGUGUUGUCAAGAUUGGUUGUUGGCUGAAGAUGCUGGUACGAAUUUUUAUAAUUGAAUUCUUUAUUUUAUAUUAACUAUUUUUUGUCUAACUAAUUUAAUUUUUAAUUAAUUUUUGUGCUCAGAAUUAAAUUUGUGUUCUUCAACACAUACCAAAUUGAUAUACUCAGAAGAUGUGGACAUGGAUGAGGUACAAUUAACUAUAUCAUUCAUAUAUUUAGUUAAAUAUAGUCAUAAUAAAAAUAAGAAAAGUAUUAAAUAUAAAUCAUAUUUAACUUAUAUGACAUUAUCUAAUAUUGUAGGAAUGAUAAUGGUUGUGCUGUGAUAUAAAGAUGAUGGAGACAAUAGAAUAUUAUAUUGAUCUUACUCUUGCAUUUUUUUUAUUACCUUUCUUAUUUACUUGUUUUGGUGUAAAAGCAUAAACUACAAUAUUUAUUAGACUUUUUAGACAAAUUAUAUAAUUUAAUCGUUACCAAUACAUUUUAGUCUUUAAUAUUCAUUCUAAAAAAUUAUUACUCUUUUAUUGUAAAAUUUUAGAAUUCAUGACAGAUUUAGAGCAGAUUUGGAUUUUAAUUAUUUUUUUUAGAUUUGGAGCGGAUAUAGAUAUUUAUUUCUUUUUUGGAUCUGGAUAUGGAGCCAAAAACAUAGGUCUAUGAUGGAUCUGAAGUAAAUACGGAUCUCAAUUUUUAUUAUGAAUUUAGAUUUGGAGUAAAGUAGAUCCAAUUCAUAUCUACCACAAUAACAUCCCUAGAUCAUGGUAUCUCUUUCUUAUGUACCCCAUUUUGGCAUAUUAUAUUUUUAGGAGCUGGCUACUGUAGAUUAUCUGUUACGUACACACCCAACGGUGGAAGGACACACAUACACAGGAGAGGGAAAUUGCUUACCAAAUGCACCCUUUGUGAAGCUGGCUAAGGUGCAGCUGUUAGGUAUAGCGUCUGUACCCUAGCCAUCUCCAUAUUUUUAACCUAUUCAAUGAUAUUUGGCUUUUGUCGUGUAUUGGGAAAAAAAUGAUGAAUAAAAUGUGACAACUUGCAGUUGCAAAAGAUUUAGUCAUACAGGGACCUGUCUAUGGACCUGUCUAUGGUCAUAUAGUCAUUUAGUCAUAUAGACUCGACUAGCUUACAGAAUCUGUAAGGUACAGACUGCAGCAUCAGCCGUUGGAUGUGGUUGGAUGUGGAGCGAGAAACUAAACAAUAGAAAAUCGGAUGGUGGGAUGACGGGAGAUGUUUGUUACAGAAUCUGUACCAUAGACAGGUCCUAGUCAUAUAUGCUGGCUUUGAGACCCGAUUUUUUGCCGUAUAUUUUGAUAAUUAAAGAUUCUUUUAAUUUAUAUAUUGAGAAAAAGUUCCGUGAAAUAAGAGUCCGCCUAACAUACAGCUAACGCGCUCUACAGCUGCUGUGUAAAAUUUCAUUGAGCCCCUUAUUCUCUAUAUUAUUUACAAUUUAUUCAUAAAUAUUAUAACAUUUUCUGUAUUGUACAAUUUCGUUAGCCCCUUAUACUCUAUUUUAUUUUAGUAAAACCCUUAGAGUACGAAUUCGCCUCUUAUAAUUUUUAAAAUUUCAAAAUACCCUCCAUUUAAUAAUUAUUUUGUUGUAAUUAUAAAUAUAAUUAUAAUUUUUAAAUAGAUGAUUAUUAUUAUUAUUAUUUAUUAACAAGAAUAAAAAUUAUUAUAAUUAAUUAAUAUAUUAACAAUAAUUUUAUUAAUUAAUUUUUAUUAAUUACGAUAAUACAAAUGAUAUUCAAAGCUUCCAUUCUUUUCGGAUCAAAAGAAAAGGAAUUUUGUUUCCCAAGUUUUUGGUCAUGCAUAGGGUGGUCCUUCAUACUUAAUUCUUUGACAUAAAUGAACGGAUCAUACAUAUAAUAUUUUGCCCAAAAAAGAAAAUUAAAAAAAAAAACUCUUUUAUUUGAAUAUAUCAUUUUGUUAUGAAUUUCUAACAAUAAAAUUUUUAAUUAUUGUGAUUAUUAUUAUUAAAAAAUUAAUUAAUUAUUAUUAUUAUUGUUAAUUAUUAUUGAUAAUUCAACUAAAAACUUAUUAUUGAUUAUUGUUAAUAGAUUAAUUAAUUAUAAUACUUUUUAUUCUUGUUACUAAUAAUAAUAAUAAUAUUUCAUUUUAAAAUUAUAAUUACAUUUAUAAUUAUAACAAAAUAAUUAUUAUAAUUGUAAUUAUAAUCCAUACAAUAAUUAUAUUUUUUAAUUAAAUGGAGAGUAUUUUGGGAAUUUAAAAAUUAUAAGGGGCGAAUUAGUACUCUAAUGGUUUCAAGGAAAUAAAACAGAGUACAAGAGACUAACUAAAAUUGUACAAUUUAGAAAGUUUUAUUAUACUUAUAAAUAAAGUGUGAAUAAUAUAGAGUAUAAGGGGCUCAAAGACGUUUUACACAACAACUAUAAGUUGCGUUAGCUGUAUCUUAGGCGGACCCAUGAAAUAAAUAUAGUUACACAUAACUUACAGAUGAUUUUGUCUUUUCUGAAUUGUUACUCUAAACUAUCGUUAAGCCCCUUGUACUGUAUAUUAUUUACAACUUGUAACUAAGUAUUAUAAAACUUUAUGCAUUGUAAAAUUUCGUUCAGCCCCUUGUACUCUGUUGUAUUUCAUUGAAACCUUUAGAGUAUCAAAUAUAUCCCCUAUAAUUUUUAAAUUUCUAAAAUACCCUCCAUUUAAAUAAAAUAUAAUAAUUAUUAAAUGGAUUAUAAUUAUAAUUUUUAAAUGGAUUAUUAUAAUUAUUAUUAAUAACAAUAAUAAAAAGUAUUAUAAUUAAUUAAUCUAUUAACAAUAAUUAAUAAUUAAUUUUUUAAUAAUAAUAAUCACAAUAAUUAAAAUACAAAAUUAUUAUUAUUAUAAAAUUAAUUAAGGAUUUUAUAGUAAUUUGUUAUAAUUUAACUCAUUUCAAUUUUGAUUCUAAGACAAAGUAAACACAUAAAUGGUAAUAUAGCUCAGUUUAAUUACAAUUUGUGCAAUUCAAAUAAAUAAAUUAUUCUGAAUCAAAUUCCUUAUUUCAAUUUUAGCUAAUUUUGAUUCUUAUUUAGUGAAUGCAUUAUAAAAUUGUAAACAUUUCAUUUUUUUCUCAUUUCUUUUUCCCAUCUCUCACUCUCUUUCUCUGUGAUAAGUCUAAUGGUGGCUUCAAUUAUCGAUAAAGAUUGCUGAUGAAGAUAAAUAAAUAGUGGAGAGGGAUGGAUUCAAAGGAAGUUUACUUUUAAUUUUGUUAAUCCUUUUAUCAUGAAAGUACUAAUUAUUAUGAGAUGAUAUUAUAAAGAAGAUGAAUGGUAAUAUCCUUGAAAAUUUUUUUGAUGACUAAUAUCCUUGAAGGCUACUAUAAAAUCCUUUAUUAAUUUUUAUCAUAAUUAUUAUUUUUUUAUUUUAAUUAUUGUGAUUAUUAUUAUUAUUCAAAAAUUAAUUAUUAUUAAUAAUUAUCGUUAAUUGUUAUUAUUAAAAAUUUAACUAAAAAUUAGUAUUAAUUAUUGUUAAUAGAUUAAUUAAUUAUAAUACUUUUAUUAUUAUUAUUAAUUAUAAUUAUAAUCCAUUUAAUACUUAUUAUAUUUUAUUUAAAUGGAGGGUAUUUUGGGAAUUUAAAAAUUAUAGGAGAUGGAUUUGAUAUUCUAAGAGUUUCAAUGAAAUAAAACAAAGUGCAACAGGCUGAACAAAAUUUUACAAUGCAGAAAGUUUUAUAAUACUUAUUAAUAAAUUAUAAAUAAUAUAAAGUCCAAGGGGCUUAACGAUAUUUUACCGUAACAAUUCAAAAAGGACCAAAGCAUUUGCAAGUUACGUUAACUGUAAAUUAGGGAGAUCUGAGAGAGAAUAUAUACAUAUUGUUCUUCUCUAGUGCAUAUAUCCUCUUUUUUUUUUUUUUUUUAUGUGGACAUGAUUUUAUAGUGUCAUUGCAGAUACACUAUCCUCAAGUGAGUGCACCCUCAAUUUUUUAAUGCGAACAAUUUGUUAAACCUUGCGGCUUAAAAUGACUAAUUUUCAAUUAACUAUAAAGUCAAGAAAAAGCAACACAAUCUAAUGCAUAAUAAGACAAAAUACAUUGCAGUAGAGUAUGUUUUUUUUUCAUUUUUUCAGCUUGUUCCUUACUUUAAUAUAUAAUAAGGGAUCCCUUAUUGCAAUUUUAUAUUAUAUAACUACACAGUCAUUAUCUAAUAAGAGGAUCCCUUAAGUUAUUAAAAUAAAGGAUUAACUAAAGGAAGAGUAAAAUACACACCCCAAGGUAGCAUAUUCUAUCUUAUAAUGUAUCGGAGUGUGUGUUUUUCUUUUUUUACUUUAGCUCUUACACUUUAGCUCUUACUUUAACAACUUAAAGAAAUCAUGAUUGAAAAAUUAUAUUGUAACUAUUUAAAUUUGGCCUAAUGUAAUAUAAGGUUAAGGUUAGGAAAAAGAGUUGGACUAUUGACACUCAUUCAUUAAUCUUAUAAAAACCAUGUUAUAUUACAAUUAUAUUUAAGGACAAAAAUAAAUAGGAUUAACCUCAUUUAUAUUUUCUUUCUCUCUUCAAUAUUAUUUUGCUUGCACAUUAUAAAUUUCUUUUAUUAUCAAUAAAAUAAUCCGAAUUUAAGAAGUAAUCCUCUAAGUCAAAAUAAGAUUCUUGUAAUAUACAUAGCAACAAAAUUAGGAUACAACGAGUGGGAAAAUAAAUUAAAUAAAUUUUAUCUUGCUACAAAUAAUUUUUUAAGAAUUCUCAAAUUAUUUUUUACAAUCAAUGUUUGUAGCUACGAUAAAAUUAUACCAGACCCAUAAAAUAUUCAUUAUGUUCUAAUGUUUUUCUUGCUUUUUCUUUCAGAUACUUUUCCUUAGAAAUUAAAUAAUAAAAAAAGUUUGAAGAGAGGAAUAUAAUUAUUAAGACUGAAAGAGUAAGAAAGUUAUUAGAAAUGGCAAGAUUUAUAACUUAAAAGAAUGUUUAUUUAAAAAAAAAAGGAUAUUUUUGCCAUUAAGUAGAAUAUAAUUGAAAAAAAAAUAUUUUGAGAGAAUUUUGUGGGAAUGCUAAUAGUCUAACUUUGGAAGCGGUAAUUGUUAUUAAUUUUAUUUAACAAUUAAUGGACCUGAGCUGUCAGUUUAUUUUUAAAAAUUGUAAAAUCAUGCAGUUUCAAGAGGUGGGAAAUUGUAGGACCUUAUUGGUUUAUUUUAAUUUUUUAGUAGUUUUUUUUUUAAAUUUCUUUCUUAUUUGAAUUAGGUUUCUUAUUGCAAUUAUGAUUUAGAGUUAUAAUUAGAUGAGAAUUAGGAUUGUGUUGAGUUACUAUAAAAAAGUAGUUUUGUUAACAUUUAUGUAUUCAUAAUGUUGAUUUUGAUGAUAACAAACAAAAUAAAGAAUGGUUAAAUUUUUAAAAGCUCAAAUUAUUUUUAUACAUUUUAAAUAAAAUCAUUAUUUUCACAUUGCAAUAUUAAGCCACUGAAGCAAUCCAAUGGACGGAAACACAUCUGCAAUAUUAAAACCUGAUAUCACUUUUGUUGUUUCCUGUAUAACUGUGACAAACGCUUCUUGGUCUCUGGAUCUGUUUCCAAAGGCUGCCCUUGAAGUGAUACCAUACAUUAAUGAGUGAACGUUCUGAGUUAAGUUAAUAACUGAUCCAGCUUUUGAAGAAAUCCAAUUAAUGAGAUCAGACACUUCUGCUUCUCUUAUUGAUUGGAAAGAUUGGACUCUUUUGGCGCUCAAAAGCUCAGAUACACAGAUUUUUCGCAGUUGUUUCCAAGAAUCACCAUAUGAUGAAAAGAUUAUAUCACGAUAAUUAUAUGACAAGAUUUGUGCUGCUGGAAAAUGAGGCCUGGAUGCAAAGACAACAUCAUGGGUUUUCAUAACCUCUUUGGCAACCUCUGGGGAAGAUACAAUAAUGGUUGGAACUUCCCCGAGUUGUAGGAGCAUAAGAGGUCCAUAUUUCUUGCUCAAGUCUCUUAGUCCAUGAUGGGGUAGGGAGCCAGCAAGCUGGUACAAAUUUCCUAUAACAGGUAAUUUCCAUGGCCCUGGUGGUGGAUUUGAGAUUCUGUUAU
rnacentral:lncRNA from 1 species